rnacentral:rRNA from 1 species
UAGGGAAUCUUCGGCAAUGGACGGAAGUCUGACCGAGCAACGCCGCGUGAGUGAAGAAGGUUUUCGGAUCGUAAAGCUCUGUUGUUAGAGAAGAACGUUGGUAGGAGUGGAAAAUCUACCAAGCGACGGUAACUAACCAGAAAGGGACGGCUAACUACGUGCCAGCAGCCGCGGUAAUACGUAGGUUCCGAGCGUUGUCCGGAUUUAUUGGGCGUAAAGCGAGCGCAGGCGGUUCUUUAAGUCUGAAGUUAAAGGCAGUGGCUUAACCAUUGUACGCUUUGGAAACUGGAGGAGUUGAGUGCAGAAGGGGGGAGUGGAAUUCCAUGUGUGACGGUGAAAUGCGUAGAUGUAUGGAGAAACACCGGUGGCGAAAGCGGCAAUCUGGUCUGUAACUGACGAUGAGGCUCGAAAGCGUGGGGAGCAAACAGG